UACGAAGGGUGCGAGCGUUAUUCGGAUUUAUUGGGCGUAAAGGGUGCGCAGGCGGUAUGUUAAGUCAACUGUUAAAUUUCCCAGCUUAACUGGGAGUCGGCGGUAGAUACUGGCGUACUAGAGGGUGGAAGAGAGAAGUGGAAUUCUUGGAGUAGCGGUAAAAUGCGUAGAUCUCAAGAGGAACACCGAUGGCGAAGGCAGCUUCUUGGUCCACAUCUGACGCUCAUGCACGAAAGCGUGGGGAGCAAACAGG
rnacentral:rRNA from 1 species